rnacentral:rRNA from 1 species
UGGGGAAUAUUGGGCAAUGGACGCAAGUCUGACCCAGCAACGCCGCGUGAAGGAAGAAGGCUUUCGGGUUGUAAACUUCUUUUAAGAGGGAAGAGGAGAAGACGGUACCUCUUGAAUAAGCCACGGCUAACUACGUGCCAGCAGCCGCGGUAAUACGUAGGGGGCAAGCGUUAUCCGGAUUUACUGGGUGUAAAGGGAGCGUAGACGGAACGGCAAGUUUGAAGUGAAAUACCCGGGCUUAACCCGGGAACUGCUUUGAAAACUGUCGAUCUAGAGUGUCGGAGAGGUAAGUGGAAUUCCUGGUGUAGUAGUGAAAUGCGUAGAUAUCAGAAAGAACACCGGAGGCGAAGGCGGCUUACUGGACGAUAACUGACGUUGAGGCUCGAAAGCGUGGGGAGU